CCUACGGAAGGCAGCAGUGGGGAAUAUUGGACAAUGGGGGCAACCCUGAUCCAGCGACGCCGCGUGAGUGAAGAAGUAUUACGGUACGUAAAGCUCUAUCAGCCGGGAAGCAAAUGACGGUACCUGACUAAGAAUCCCCGGCUAACUACGUGCAAGCAGCCGCGGUCAUGCGUCGGGGUGCAGCGUUAUGCGGGUGUACUGGGUGUAAAAGGAGCGUAGACGGGAGCGCAAGGCUGGAGUGAAAUGCGGGGUGCCAACCGCGGAACUGCUCUGGAAACUGUCAUGCUGGAGUGCAGGAGAGGUAAGCGGAAUGCGUGGUGUAGCGGUGAAAUGCGUAGAUAUCAGGAGGAACACCGGCGGCGAAGGCGGCUUACUGGAGCGCAACUGACGUUGAGGCUCGAAGGCGUGGGGAGCGAACAGGAUUAGAUACCCCUGUAGUC
rnacentral:rRNA from 1 species